CAACUUUCUUAAUAGCGCUUAAGUACUUCAAAAUUUUCUGGGGUGUUACAUCAGUAGUGAUUACAAGCUCUUUGAAUACUUUUUUGCAUUAAGUUUAACGAUUUUUAGCUAACGACAACUAACUUAUCAAAAUUUGUUGAGCUUUGUUAAUUUGAGAGGUUAAGUUCCUUUAAAGAUAUUUGUUGUGUAUAUUUCCCUUGCUCUUCUUCACCUUCAUCUUCUUCUUCUUCUCUGGUGAAUUAUUUUGGUAAAUUCAAGUGUGCCUCUGGCUGGGAAAUACUGAGAUAAAGGAAAAUUACAUUUUUCACUAAUAAAAAGACUUGGCACAAGAAUAUUCUUUUUAAAUGUUCUUUCUUAUUAUGGAGAGCUUUAAGGAAUAAUAUAACAGAGCAUGAAAGUAUGAAGAAACGUAAGAAUUUUUUAUUAUGUAUUAAGACCCGAAUUAUGUUUGAGGCAUUCAACGCCUAUAGGUGAGAUAUAUUUUGCUAUACUUGUUUUGCAAAUCCACAUGAUCAAAUCUGUUGAUAAUUUAAUUAUUUUAUUUGACAAUAUUCAAUUUUGUGACAACUGAUGAUCAUGAGAUGUGCUAGGAAAACAUAAAUGAAAAGCAUCCUAAUUUAUGGUUUUACUCUCUUCUGUGCUAGGCUACAGACUCUACACAAAGGCACAAGGGAUGACGACGUGCAAUGACAAACAUAUUUAGUCUGUUGGAACAUGUAAUAUUUGUUGCCUAUUGAUUAUGAGAUAAAAAUCUGGUUCUUCUUUCCGAAGUCAGAUAUAGUUAGUUAACGCACAUUGUAGUUCAAUGUUUCCAUCAGUUUGCGAUUUAUGAGACGUUGAAGUUUGCUGAACUGAUUGAGUGAAUGUAAGCUACACCACCUUCAGGAGGAAAGCAUACAAAUGGACAAAUUGAUGGAAGAAAUUGGCGUGUUCUCAGGGUCACUGGAAACCUUGUGGCUGCUUCAGUUGUUAAUGGAAUGCCAACCACGUUCGACCUGUUUCUCGACCUUCAUAUGUAUUUUAUACGAGUCUCUCUAACUGUGAUGGAACUUUCCUUUCUCGAAUUCUUUUUUAGCUCAUUUAGUGCUCAAAGAGUACUUUUGAAUUUUUAGUCAAACUUCAGUGUUGCAUCAACUGAUUUGGCAUAAUAGUUUAUCAUCUUUUUUUUA